rnacentral:lncRNA from 1 species
GAGGCGCAUACCUUGCAGACGCAAGGGGAAGCUGAAUUAUCUUAAGUACCAUCAUCAUAAUCAACACCAUUGCCAAAGGAAGAGGCCAAGAGCCCAGCACACAGGAGGCACUCGGGGAAGAGACAAAAAGGAGGCAAAGGAAAGUUCGAGGCUCAGCCCCGGCUAGAACUCCAUGAAAACGACGAGGAGCCGGUUAAAGCUCAGCCAGUGUGAAUUCAGUUCUGAAACGACAAAACUGCCGAAUCUCACCCAGCUGUCAGGUCGCCCCAGACUGCGUCUCAAGCCUCCAGGGGACCGCGCGGGCCCAACAGCAGCCGGGCGGCUGCCCGAGCCCGGCCUGCAGCGGACAUCUGCGGGAGCGUGUCAGGAAAACACCGAAGGCAGCACAGAUAAAGGUGUGCAGUAUGAGGAAGCAUCCUGA